GAUUAAUAGUUAUGUUCUUUAAAGUUAAAUAAAAUGGCGGUACUUUAUUCUUUUCAGAGGAACCUGUUCUAUAAUUGAUAAUCCACGAUUAAUUUUACUUAAAUUAGAAGUUUGUAUAUCGUUGUUUAAAAUAUUUUAUUAAAAUUUAAAUAUUUGUAAAUUUUUAUAAAAAUAUAAAUCAGAUCAAGGUAUAGUUUAUAUUUAAGGAGUAAUGGGUUACAUUAAGAUUACUUAUGGAUAAUAAAAUGAAAUUUUUAUUUAAAAUUGGAUUUGAUAGUAAUUAAAUUUAU
rnacentral:rRNA from 1 species